AGUUUUCUUAUUGAUGAUUGUCAGUCCACCACACAAUUCUUCAAAAAUGACCUUGCUAAUUUCUGUUUUUUUACGAAUCUAAUCGUCAAGGACGGUAGGUGGCAGCUUUGCAUUUAGCUCGAGAUGCUUUCUCUUCAUCCGUGGGGAAAGUCCUGAAUAGUAAAUACUAAAACGACUUCCGGAAGUUGCGCCAAAUUCCUGUGUGAACUUGUAUGAAUGUAAACAGCCAGCCAGUCUGCAAACUGACUCGUAGGCACGUUUUUUCGCAAAGUUGCGAAACCUAGCAGUGAACUCGGAGACCGAAACUGCCGGUCUUCAGCAGGCACACCAGAACUUCGACGAAAAGGAUCAGAGGGUGUGGUGCGAGUUCUGCAUGAGCUGCACUCGGAGGUCAGGGGCCUCAAGGGCCAGGUGAAGGAGCAGCUGGUGCGCCAACAGGCAGAGGAGAAUGAGGUGAUGAGCUUCAUAAAGAUGUGUAUGGUGCUGAAGCAGAGGACAUACAAAGACUGAUGAAACACUAGGAAAAAUAUGUCUACAAAGCACCUAAGAACACACAAACAGACAGAGCCGAACCGCCAGGAGGCAGAAGCUUCAGAGAAAGAGUCAUGACACUGAGGGAGUAGAGGAGGACCAGGAGGCAGGAAAGGAGGGACACCUCCCCUCAGUGACCCCUUUGUGCUGACUGGUUCUGAUGACGGGUUUGCCUUUCAUCUUGCAGCUCAUUUCACUGUAUAUAGAUUUUCUAUUGUGUUAUUGACUGUACGUUUUGUUUAUUCCAUAUGUAACUCUGUGUUG